GAUGAACGCUAGCGGCAGGCUUAAUACAUGCAAGUCGUGGGGCAGCGCGGAUAGCAAUAUCUGGCGGCGACCGGCAAACGGGUGAGGAACAUGUACGCAACCUUCCUUUAACUGGAGAAUAGCCCCUCGAAAGAGGGAUUAAUACUCCGUAACAUAAUGAAGUGGCAUCGCUUUAUUAUUAUAGCUCCGGCGGUUAAAGAUGGGCGUGCACCUGAUUAGAUAGUUGGCGGGGUAAUGGCCCACCAAGUCUACGAUCAGUAACUGGUGUGAGAGCACGACCAGUCACACGGGCACUGAGACACGGGUCCGACUCCUACGGGAGGCAGCAGUAAGGAAUAUUGGUCAAUGGACGCAAGUCUGAACCAGCCAUGCCGCGUGGAGGAUUAAGGCCCUCUGGGUUGUAAACUCCUUUUAUCUGGGAAGAAAUGUACUUUUUCUUGAGUACUUGACGGUACCAGAGGAAUAAGCACCGGCUAACUCCGUGCCAGCAGCCGCGGUAAUCACG
rnacentral:rRNA from 1 species